AGUGAACGCUGGCGGUAGGCCUAACACAUGCAAGUCGAACGGCAGCACAGUAAGAGCUUGCUCUUACGGGUGGCGAGUGGAGGACGGGUGAGGAAUACAUCGGAAUCUACUUUUUCGUGGGGGAUAACGUAGGGAAACUUACGCUAAUACCGCAUACGACCUACGGGUGAAAGCAGGGGAUCUUCGGACCUUGCGCGAUUGAAUGAGCCGAUGUCGGAUUAGCUAGUUGGCGGGGUAACGGCCCACCAAGGCGACGAUCCGUAGCUGGUCUGAGAGGAUGAUCAGCCACACUGGAACUGAGACACGGUCCAGACUCCUACGGGAGGCAGCAGUGGGGAAUAUUGGACAAUGGGCGCAAGCCUGAUCCAGCCAUACCGCGUGGGUGAAGAAGGCCUUCGGGUUGUAAAGCCCUUUUGUUGGGAAAGAAAAGCAGCAGGUUAAUACCCCGCUGUUCUGACGGUACCCAAAGAAUAAGCACCGGCUAACUUCGUG
rnacentral:rRNA from 1 species